UCAUCCCGGUUGACAGGGCUGAAAAUCUCAGGCCUGAAUUUCAGCCCUGUCAACCGGGAUGAAAUA